rnacentral:lncRNA from 1 species
AAUCUUUCCGUUUUGCCAAUUUCGACCCCUUAGCGAAUAAUUAGUGAUUCCCGGAGAUCCGUCUGUCGUUUUUCCGAUCGGAUCACGCCAGCGCAUUCAGUACUACUGGGGCAUCGAAUCUACCAUUUUGUUUCAUCCAUUUUGAUCACAGAGUCAUGACGAAACCCAUCCACUCUCCAAAUACCAAAAACUACACACAUAUAUAUAUAUGUGCAAACACAGUAAACCUCCUUUCUCUCAAAAACCGUGCAUCUUAUUUGAAACCCGUCAAUGUCAUUAGGUUUAGGACAGUCGAACCAUUGAAAAUGAGCUAUUAGAUCACAUGAACGGAGUCUAAUACGCACUAGAAGCCACCUCCACUCAUUGGCUUCUCUGAAAAACCGGAGUUACUAUUCACUUUAAGUGAUUAGUAUAGGUCGCGUAACUUAUUCAUUCUAACUCGUUUUCUCCUGAAACUUGACGAGUGCUGAUGUAAUUACAUUACACACAAAAACGUCAUCAACAGAGGGUUUAGCUACAUUGUCGAAAUCUCGGAUAUUACAAAUUGACUAAAAUAUUCUUAUUCCUCUUUUUCUUUAAUUUCGCUUCUCAUUUGACUUUUUCAGCCCUCUUCGUCUCUAUCUUUCCUAUUGUUUCGUGAUCUCUUUCUCAUCCUGCUUUCUCUUUCUUCUCCUCCUCGAUCCUCCACUGCCCUCAUGUCGAGGUCACACUCCUUUCUCCUACUUCGCUCAUAUCUUCACUGAUGUUGGCAGCAAUGAUGCGUGUUCAUAUAUGGCAUAGCUAGAUCGUGGAGGUAAUGCUGCGGCGAAGGGCGUGGCCGUGGAUGAUGACGAUGAUGGAAGUGCCAUAGCAUUUGAGGACGAUGGGAAGGGAGAGCGCGCGGGGGCGAGAGCAGCUACUGUGACAGAGGGUGGGAGAGGGGGUAGGUAGAAGAAAAGAGUGCAGUAGGCAGAAGAAAAAGAAGGAAGAAAAAAUAAAAUAAAAUAAUAUUUUGCUUCUUCUAGAAAGG